CUUCCACAGGCAAAUUGCUUCAUUUUACCAGAACUUGAGUAACUGCCUUGUAGCCUCGUCGAACCAUCCGCCUCUCCAAGAUUUGCUUUGGUUUUGCCAAAAAUCGCCCUCCAUUAUCGGCAACAGGUACAAGAGGGGAGAUGGAACUCCCUGGAGCCGGGCUUUGUUUAAGAAAGGACACAUGAAAGCAACAAGCGGUAGGCUACCGAUCCGAUCUUUGCGACUACCUCAAACGGUCCAUAAUAUCGUGACGUGAGCUUAACAUUCUUCUUUACAGCGAUGGUCAACUGUCGGUAAGGUUGCAAUUUGAGAAAAAAGGGCACCGGUGAUUGGGAAAAUUUGCGAAGUAGCAUCGAAAUUUUGAGGCCGAUGGAGUAUCGGAAUUGAAGAAGCCGCAGCAAAAGCCAUGAUUGGAAAACAAACUUGCGGCCACCUUUUCUCCAUUCACCAUAAUUAACUUACAUGUAAUUAAUUUACAUGCAUGUGAGGGGAUUUGUCGAACCUCAUGGUCUUUCUUUCAAAUAUUGCAUGGUGAACGAGUAUAGUAAAUGCCAAUAAGUUACUAUUGUUGCUAAUGAUGUAUUUAAAGAUGAUCGCCAUUCUUUGUUUAUGAAACUUCUGUCUCUAUUGUUACAA